CACUAGAUGAACCUCUAUUUUAAGAAAUAUCUAAACUCUUUGAUUCUGUCAUCAGUUUUAUGAUCUUUUGUAUUUUUCUAAACUGUGAAUUUAAGAGAAAAUAAUAUUUUUAAAGUGCUUAAGGUGCCCAAGAAAGCUGUCCCACAAGAAAAAACACCUGCUGCUGAACCCAAAAAACCAGAACUACCACCAGCCAAAGUGCCCAAGGUACCCAAGAAGGCUGUUCUGGAAGAACCCAUACCUGUAGCUGUGCCAAAAAAGCCAGAACCUGCACCAGCUCGAGUGCCCGAAGUGCCCAGGAAGGCUAUUCGUGAGGAAAAAAUACCUGUGGCCGUUGCCAAAGCCCCAGAGCCUCCAGCACCCAGAGUGCAUGAGAUGCCGGAGGCAGAGGUCUCAGAAGAGGAAGAGGUGGAAGUACCACCAGAGGAAGCGGUAGCAGUUGCCGAGCCUGGAGAGCCAGAAGCUCCUCCAGCUGAAGGUAUAUGGUGGUGUCCCAAAGUGCCUGCCAUGCUCUGAGUGUUGACACAGUACUGACUGUUCUCUGCCCCUCUGCCUUCUGUGGGGAGGGGUGUGAGCAGCAUUUAGCCAUG
rnacentral:lncRNA from 1 species